GACGAACGCUGGCGGCGCGCCUAACACAUGCAAGUCGAACGAGCGAGAGAGAGCUUGCUUUCUCAAGCGAGUGGCGAACGGGUGAGUAACGCGUGAGGAACCUGCCUCAAAGAGGGGGACAACAGUUGGAAACGACUGCUAAUACCGCAUAAGCCCACAGGUCGGCAUCGACCAGAGGGAAAAGGAGCAAUCCGCUUUGAGAUGGCCUCGCGUCCGAUUAGCUAGUUGGUGAGGUAACGGCCCACCAAGGCAACGAUCGGUAGCCGGACUGAGAGGUUGAACGGCCACAUUGGGACUGAGACACGGCCCAGACCCCUACGGGAGGCAGCAGUGGGGAAUAUUGAACAAUGGGGGAAACCCUGAUGCAGCGACGCCGCGUGGAGGAAGAAGGUCUUCGGAUUGUAAACUCCUGUUGUUGAGGAAGAUAAUGACGGUACUCAACAAGGAAGGGACGGCUAACUACGU
rnacentral:rRNA from 1 species